rnacentral:rRNA from 1 species
AGAUAUGAUCCAGAGUACCACGGGACACGUGAAACCCUGUGGGAAGCAGGAGGGACCACCCUCCAAGGCUAAAUACUACCUAGUGACCGAUAGCGUAUAGUACCGUGAGGGAAAGGUGAAAAGAACCCCGGGAGGGGAGUGAAAUAGAACCUGAAACCCUGCACUUACAAGCUGUGGAAGCACAUUUCUUGUGUGACCGCGUACUUUUUGUAGAACGGGCCAACGAGUUACGUUAAGUAGCAAGGUUAAGCACUUAAGGUGCGGAGCCGUAGCGAAAGCGAGUUUUAACUGAGCGUUCAGUUACUUGACGUAGACCCGAAACCGGGCGACCUACCCAUGAGCAGGAUGAAGCGAAAGUAAAAUUUCGUGGAGGUCCGAACCCACGAGCGUUGAAAAGCUCGGGGAUGACUUGUGGGUAGCGGUGAAAUUCCAAUCGAGCCCGGAGAUAGCUGGUUCUCCCCGAAAUAGCUUUAGGGCUAGCCUCAAGGUGAGAGAUACGGAGGUAGAGCACUGAAUGUCCUAGGGGGUAUUGCACCUACCGAAGACUAUCAAACUCCGAAUGCCGUCAUCUUAUACUUGGGAGUCAGACUGUGGGUGAUAAGAUUCAUAGUCGAAAGGGCAACAGCCCAGAUCGUCAGCUAAGGUCCCUAAAUGUAAGUUAAGUGGUAAAGGAUGUGGGAUUGCACAGACAACCAGGAUGUUGGCUUAGAAGCAGCCACUCAUUCAAAGAGUGCGUAAUAGCUCACUGGUCGAGUGAUCCUGCGCCGAAGAUUUCCGGGGCUAAAACUUACUACCGAAGCUACGGCAUCAGUAAUGAUGGGUAGGGGAGCUUCCCAUACGGGUUGAAGCAUGACCGUAAGGACAUGUGGACAGUAUGGGAGUGAGAAUGUUGGCAUGAGUAGCGAGAUGUGGGUGAGAAUCCCACAGGCCGUAAACCCAAGGUUUCCAGGGGAAGGUUCGUCCGCCCUGGGUUAGUCGGGACCUAAGCUGAGGCCGAAAGGCGUAGGUGAUGGACAACAGGUUGAUAUUCCUGUACUACCGAUAACCGUUUGAGAGAAGGGAUGACACAGUAGGAUAAGCUAAGCACACUGUUGGUUAUGUGUGCCCAAGCAUUGAGGCAGUCAAAGUAGGCAAAUCCGCUUUGAUAAUGCUGGGAUGUGAUGGGGAGCGAAAUUUAGUAGCGAAGUAGCUGAUUUCACACUGUCAAGAAAAGUCUCUAUCGAGGUUAAAGGUACCCGUACCGCAAACCGACACAGGUGGGUGAGGAGAGUAUCCUAAGGCCAGCGAGAGAACUGUUGUUAAGGAACUCGGCAAAAUGACCCCGUAACUUAGGGAUAAGGGGUGCCACCAUCAGGUGGCCGCAGAGAAUAGGCCCAAGCGACUGUUUACCAAAAACAUAGGUUUCUGCUAAGUCGCAAGACGAUGUAUAGGAGCUGACGCCUGCCCGGUGCUGGAAGGUUAAGGGGAUCUGUUAGAGCAAUCGAAGCAGUGAACUUAAGCCCCAGUAAACGGCGGCCGUAACUAUAACGGUCCUAAGGUAGCGAAAUUCCUUGUCGGGUAAGUUCCGACCCGCACGAAAGGCGUAACGAUUUGGGCACUGUCUCAACAACAGACUCGGUGAAAUUGUAAUUCCGGUGAAGAUGCCGGAUACCUGCGACAGGACGGAAAGACCCCAUGGAGCUUUACUGUAGCUUGACAUUGGGUCUUGGUACUACAUGUACAGGAUAGGUGGGAGGCUUUGAAACCAGGACGCCAGUUUUGGCGGAGCCAUCCUUGGGAUACCACCCUUGUAGUACUGGGACUCUAACCAUAGGCCAUGAAUCUGGUCUUGGGACACUGUCAGGUGGGCAGUUUGACUGGGGCGGUCGCCUCCCAAAAGGUAACGGAGGCGCUCAAAGGUUCUCUCAGUACGGUCGGAAAUCGUACGUAGAGUGUAAAGGCAAAAGAGAGCUUGAUUGCAAGACAUACAGGUCGAGCAAGGAUGAAAAUCGGACUUAGUGAUCCGGUGGUUCUGCGUGGAAGGGCCAUCGCUCAACGGAUAAAAGCUACCCUGGGGAUAACAGGCUUAUCUCCCCCAAGAGUCCACAUCGACGGGGAGGUUUGGCACCUCGAUGUCGGCUCAUCACAUCCUGGGGCUGUAGUAGGUCCCAAGGGUUGGGCUGUUCGCCCAUUAAAGUGGUACGCGAGCUGGGUUCAGAACGUCGUGAGACAGUUCGGUCCCUAUCCGUCGCAGGCGUAGGAAAUUUGAGAAGACCUGUCCUUAGUACGAGAGGACCGGGAUGGACGUACCUCUGGUGUACCAGUUGUCCUGCCAAGGGCAUGGCUGGGUAGCUAUGUACGGAAUGGAUAAGCGCUGAAAGCAUCUAAGCGCGAAGCCAACUUCAAGAUAAGAUUUCCCACCGCAAGGGUAAGACCCCAGAAAGACUAUCUGGUUGAUAGGUCGAAGGUGUAAGUGCAGCAAUGUAUUUAGCUUAUCGAUACUAAUAGGUCGAGGACUUGACCAAU